AGAGAUGCUAGGUCCUGCCUCCCUCCCGAGAGGACACGGAUCAGGGCUGGCUCCAGUCCUCCCCCACCCUACCCCAGGUUCUCCUUCCUGCAAACUAAAUUUAGAGGUGAGGAUGUGGCCGCCUGCACGGGGCGGGCGGGGAGGGUCAGCGGCGAUGCCGCCGGAUGUCUGCCAGCCGGGCCGGGACGCUGCGUCAGGUCGGUAAACACGCGGCGUGCUCCGGAGGGGCCGCGCCAGCUGCGACGGGGACGCCGCCACCCUGGGCACCCUGGACUGACGUGGCGCCGCAACCCGCCCGGCGGGUCUGCCCCAGGCCACCCCACACACAGUCUCCUAUCCACUACGGAAAGGGAUGGCUGCAGUGGCUCUCACGCCUUACUGGUGGAACCCCUUCUUAAAAAGCUGCUAUGGGGGUCAGGGUGUAGCAGGUAUUAAACUGGGGGUCCCCCUCACCCCAGGCUCCCUGGAGCACCACCUCUGAAAACCAGGGGACCAGAUAAGCUCCAGCGUUGGGAAGCCAGGAUAGGGGAACAGCGCUCGGUGCCAGCAGGGCCGUCCCAGCCAGCUACCUGCCUUCCCUGCUCCCAGAGCCAUGCAUGGCCCGCUUGUCCUCACCGCUCCUUUGUGACCGUCAAAUAAGGCCCUCCAUGGAUGUCACAAGACUGUCAACAUUUUCAAGGGCCUCGUGCAUGAAAAUAAUUUGUCAAGUGCAGAAGCUACAUCAUGAGCAGACUGUCUUUGGAACAAGCUGUGGAAUGGACCGUGGAAUGAAUGCAGGCAGCCACUCUGCCUCCAAGAUCAGCACAGAAAGAACCCCCAGCUCCCUGCACCUGGUCUCAGAGACUUUGAACUCAAACAGACAUCGCACAUGGAAUGACACGCAAGGACCUACAUGAUGCCAAUGUACAGCCAAGGCUCAGGUUCCAGUUGCAGCCUCCUGGCCAGCCCACAGCCACUGAGGUCUGACAGUGCCGGAGAGGAAGAGGCAGAGACAGCCACAAGGCCAGGCAGUGCCCAAGCUCCCUCCACCCUGGGCUUAGGCUUGGGUCUCCCUCCACCCCGCUGCUGCCCAGCUCCCAAAGCCCUCUGCUCUCCAGGCAUACAAAGCACCUCAGGCCACACAGAUGUCCUUGCCCAACCUUGCUCACACACCGACACACACAGCCGCAUCCUCCCCGUCUUUCUCUCUGCAUCUCAACACCCUCUGCAGGUCCAACCUCUGCGCUGGGACUGCUCCCUUGGAGGACAGGAGCCAGGAAGCAGGAAUGGGGUCUAGCUCUGAGUGAUCUUGGAAAGACCGUUUCCUCAUCCGCAAAAUGGGAAUGACCAUCACAUCUGUUCUGCUCUCUGCUGGGUCCAAGCCUCCUCAUCAGAAGUCCUUAGAGAGACCUAUAUUUGUAUGUUUUGUCUCCCCCAAGAUGCACCCUUGCCUGGCCCUGCAUCAGCCCCUGGAGAUUCCGCAGCAAUGGAUUCAAGAGACAGGGCCCCCUGCCCUGAGGCUCACAGCCAGUGAACUCAAAGGUACAGAAAUAAGGAUCAUGAAGAAUUCAAGAGACAAUGGGAAGGAAGACCUAAUGGAGGGUGGAAGAGGGGGUGGAAAUUCCCAGGAGAGAGAAGUGAGCUCCACGCAGGGAAACUGCACGUGCAGAGGCUCAGAGGCACUGCUAACAGUAUCAUCUCUCAACGUGUGAUUCCAACACUGUCCCUUUUCUCUCUCUCCGGGAACUCACCUGGACUGGCUUGGAAUCCCCUGGUCCCACACUAUGCACUCUCCUGAGCUUCCUCCCAUGACUGUGGCAGCCGCCUCACCCCGCCCUGGGAGUUGGGAGUCGGGAGUGGGGAGUGGGGAAGCCUUCCAGCGUCAGGUGGGGAGAACACACCUCCCGCCUCCGCUCAGGGCCUGCCCCAGCCCCACCCGGGCCGCCCUGCGCUUCCUGGGCAAGUCAGCCAUGCAGGUUGGCUCCCCGAGGCACCCUGGGGAAGGGCAGGAGGCACACCUGCCAGGAGGCACACGACCUGCCGCCCAAGGCACCAGGAAGGGGGCGGGGCAGGCACAGGCGCUGGAGACACACAGGCCCUGCCACCCGGUGGCUGCCGCCGUGAGUGGGAGUCUGGAUGGGCACCGGGCAGGCGGGGGGCACGUUCCCGGCCUAGGGUGGGACCAGUGCUAAGGAGACUGGAGAAAAGCACAGACAGGGUUUGUGAGUGAGCCCUAAGGCAGGGACGGGAGUAGCAGGGGACAGAUUUUUCGUUCAUUCAAAAAGGUUUCUGGAGGGCUACCUGUGCCAGGCACUGUCCGAGGCACUGGGGAUACUGCAACACCCAGACGCCUCCCCUUAAGGAUCUGUCAGGUCAGGGAAAAGCAGGGCGGGGAGACAGGAAACUAACUGCUUGCACAGGGGCGUCAGGGAAGGCCUCCUGCCAAGGCAACUCUGCGGCAGAGGAGGUGCAGUGCUGUGUCAACCUCCUGGGGACUUGCUGAAUGGCAGGAUGUGGGGUGAGGGCAAGGGCCACAUCAGCAUGACCUGGGUGACCAGGCAUGACACCGCUGGGACAAACCCAGACCAGUUCUAACUGUGUCAACUGGUCAUCAUCUUUGCCCUUCACAACAAGCUGAUGGGGUCAGAAAAAUGACAGAAGCCAAAUACCUCAGUGCAGGACUGCAGAGGGGAGGUCAGCCCAGGGGUCUGAUUAUUAAGCCCAGUUCUCUCCUCCGGGCUAUCAGCAGGGUUGGGAGAGCUUCUCCAAGCCGCCUGCCAUCACAGGGCCAGGCACACCCCCAAACACAGCCCCCUGCAUGAGGCAUCACCUGCAGGCACGGCCCUGACGUGAGUCAGUGUCCCCAGCACCACCCAGCACAGAGAUCCACCCAUUCUGCAGCCUGGGCACUUGACACCUGGGAGGUGUGAGCUGGCAGCUGAGGGGGUGGCUUCCCGGUGGGGCUUCUCCCCUAUCCCUGCCAGGAGCCGCAGCCUCACAAUUCUGGGGUGAAGGAGAACAGCUCAGUCAGCACUUUCCGCUGACUCUUUCAAAACCACUUACAAGAACUGAGGCCUGUGAGCUCAGCCGGGCGCAGUUCCCCCUCAGCGGCCCCUCGUGACUCUGCACAAAGCCCAACUGUGCUUCAGCUCCAGCCCCGGGGAGGGGGUGGGGUCUCCGGCAAGCCCAUCCUGCCUCCUGAGCCACAGGGUCCCACUCUGCCCAGCCUGGGACCUGUGCUUUCUGCCCACAAAGAGACACGACAGCCCCAGUGUCAGAGCUGUCUGAGCCGUGCUGGAUCCAGGCAGCCUUCCUCCCUGAAGGUGGAGACGGGCCUUCCUCCACUGUAAACCCUUUUCCAGCACAAAUACCUCUCUUAUGGUGUCCACACAACGUAAUUUAUCAUAGAGCCAAGGUGGCAUGCAUGAUCACAAAACGAAAAAAGGAAAAUAUCCAAAGAAAAAUCGAGUCACCAGAUGAACCUCACAGCAAACCUCUAUUUUGCCCCUCCUGUGCCAGGCCCUUUGCUGGGCACUUUCCAUUCACUGCAUCCUUUAAUACUCAUAAACUCUCUGCUGCCCAUUUUACAGAUGAGGAAACAGGCCCCAAGAGGUUCAGAGGCAUGACAGACGCCACCUGGAUGGAGUGAGGGGCAGGGCAGGGCAACACUGCUCAAUCCCUGCUCCGACCUCAGGCCCCCCUACUCAGCCUCCCCAGGGGUGCGGCAGGCCCGAGGACUGCCCUGGCUCAACGAUUCUCCCAUCUUACUCCUCCCCACAUACUGAUAUGCACACACUGUGCCAGGCACUUGGGGCUGGCAGGAGUCAUCUCAAGGCCUGAUGGUUCACUCCAGCUUCACUGCCAAAGCCUGGGGCUGCCACCGGGAAGCUACCUGCUUUCUGGCCUGGGCGCUUAGUGGGGUCCCUGCAGGUCACCCUGGUCUCCCUGCCCCAUGCAGCUGGAUUAGGCUUGCCAGGCACUAAACUAGCCAGGCCUCAGUCCUUCACCCUCGAUCUCCUCCUCCAUAAAUAGGGCCAGGGACAAGUUCUAAUUGCAUUGGCCAGCACAAAAGAAAAUUCAAAAAGCAAGUAACUCAUAACUGCCUCUAGACGGUCCUCGAUCACUGGCCCGAGACCUUCCCCUCCUGGUGACUUCAGGGUACAUUAACUGUGCUCUCCUAAGAAGACCACAGGAUUAACCAAUAAAGCACUUUCCAUAGAAUUCAACCAUGAAGCACAGUCCCCCACCCACGCGAGGGCUGGAACCAGGUCUCAAAAGCCACUGGGGUUCAUUUCAGAAUGCACACAGGGGCCAUGCGCCCAUGAUUUCAUCCAUAAGACCCCUAUGAAGUGGAGACGCUGAGUUUGGACAUAAACAUAUUCUUUAGGCCCUUUUGUGGAGUUCAAAGAGAGAAUAACUCACUAGCUUUUGAAGCAUCAAGAAAGGUCUGUUCUUAAAAUCCUAUCAUCAUUGUUAUCACUCUAUUUUUAGCUGAAUACACCUGAGAUACAGAGUGCAGUGCCAAGCAUUUUGUGUGGAAUACCUCAAUCCUCACAUCAAUACCCCCAUAGUACAGAGGAGGCAACUGAGAUUCAGAGAGGUUCCACAGCCUGCUAUCAGCCUGCCUCUAAAUUUUACUUAGUAAUAUAUUAAGCCUCAGGCCUUGCUCUUUUUAAAAUCUAAUGAAGAAGCAGCUGGGCGCAGUGGCUCACACCUGUAAUCUCAGCACUUUGGGAGGUCGAAGUGGGCGGAUCACUUGAAGUCAGGAGUUUGAGACCAGCCUGGCCAACAUAGUGAAACCCCGUCUCCACUAAAAAUACCAAAAUUAGCCGGGCGUGGUGGCAGGCACCUGUAAUCCUAGCUACUUGGGAGGCUAAGGCAGGAGAAUCGCUUGAACCCAGGGGGCAGAGGUUGCAGUGAGCCAAGAUCGCGCCAUUGCACUCCAAGAGUGAAACUCUGUCUCAAAAACAAAAAAAAAUCUAAUGAAGAAGUCAAGUUCAUUAUCUUUCCUUGAGUUACUUUUUAAACUCCAAACCUUUUCAGAUUAACUCUCAAGGUUUUGCAUUGUGUAUGAUUUUUUUUUUUUAAUUUUCCAAAAUAAGAGAGAGUAAAAGGUCCCUGUGUGUUUAACAUUUAAAGGCAUCAUUUAAAAAUAUUUCCUAAGAAUAUAUGCCCCUUGGUGGUGCUGGGUGUCUCCUGCUUGAGUCAUCCUAAAAUCUAGCCAACUCAGCCUGCAAGGAGUAUCACCACCACCCGCCAGGAUCAGAGGUGCGCUGGCUGAGCUGGGCUGUCCCGGAGAUCUGGUUAUGGGUGGGGAGCAGUUGAAGGUAUGAGGACAGGCUCUGAGAGAGCCAUGGGGUUGACGAAAGGGCAUCGAGACAGAUGUCCCAGAAACUGAGUGAGACCCAUCAUGCCUCACUCAGGCCCCCGGGGCUGCAUGGGGAAGACAGGACCCAUGUGUCUGCCAGGGCCUAGCACAGAGUUGGCAGGGGUGGCUAGAUUCUUUGUUCUGUUUUCUAAUAAAUUGCAACUCACUUCCAA